GGGGAUCUGCCCGAUAGAGGGGGAUAACCACUGGAAACGGUGGCUAAUACCGCAUAACGUCGCAAGACCAAAGAGGGGGACCUUCGGGCCUCUCACUAUCGGAUGAACCCAGAUGGGAUUAGCUAGUAGGCGGGGUAAUGGCCCACCUAGGCGACGAUCCCUAGCUGGUCUGAGAGGAUGACCAGCCACACUGGAACUGAGACACGGUCCAGACUCCUACGGGAGGCAGCAGUGGGGAAUAUUGCACAAUGGGCGCAAGCCUGAUGCAGCCAUGCCGCGUGUAUGAAGAAGGCCUUCGGGUUGUAAAGUACUUUCAGCGGGGAGGAAGGCGGUGCGGUUAAUAACCGUGCCGAUUGACGUUACCCGCAGAAGAAGCACCGGCUAACUCCGUGCCAGCAGCCGCGGUAAUACGGAGGGUGCAAGCGUUAAUCGGAAUUACUGGGCGUAAAGCGCACGCAGGCGGUCUGUUAAGUCAGAUGUGAAAUCCCCGGGCUUAACCUGGGAACUGCAUUUGAAACUGGCAGGCUUGAGUCUCGUAGAGGGGGGUAGAAUUCCAGGU
rnacentral:rRNA from 1 species